rnacentral:rRNA from 1 species
UGGGGAAUAUUGCACAAUGGGCGCAAGCCUGAUGCAGCAACGCCGCGUGAGGGAUGACGGCCUUCGGGUUGUAAAACCUCUUUUAGUAGGGAAGAAGCGAAAGUGACGGUACCUGCAGAAAAAGCACCGGCUAACUACGUGCCAGCAGCCGCGGUAAUACGUAGGGUGCGAGCGUUGUCCGGAAUUAUUGGGCGUAAAGAGCUCGUAGGCGGUCUGUCGCGUCUGCUGUGAAAACCCGAGGCUCAACCUCGGGCCUGCAGUGGGUACGGGCAGACUAGAGUGCGGUAGGGGAGAAUGGAAUUCCUGGUGUAGCGGUGGAAUGCGCAGAUAUCAGGAGGAACACCGAUGGCGAAGGCAGUUCUCUGGGCCGUAACUGACGCUGAGGAGCGAAAGCGUGGGGAGCGAACAGGAUUAGAUACCCUGGUAGUCCACGCCGUAAACGUUGGGCGCUAGAUGUGGGGACCAUUCCACGGUUUCCGUGUCGCAGCUAACGCAUUAAGCGCCCCGCCUGGGGAGUACGGCCGCAAGGCUAAAACUUGAAAUGAAUUGA